UUGAUAGAAACCAAACUAGAGGUAUGUCACUGUUAAUGACAAAAUUGAAUUUAUUUUUCCUAUCAAG
rnacentral:tRNA from 1 species